UACGGAGGAUGCGAGCGUUAAUCGGAAUUACUGGGCGUAAAGGGUGUGCAGGCGGCUGAGUAAGACAGAUGUGAAAUCCCCGGGCUUAACCUGGGAACCGCAUAUGUGACUGCUUGGCUAGAGUGCGUCAGAGGGAGGUGGAAUUCCACGUGUAGCAGUGAAAUGCGUAGAUAUCGAGAGGAACACUCGUGGCGAAGGCGGGUUCCUGGACAUUAACUGACGCUGAGGCACGAAGGCCAGGGGAGCGAAAGGG
rnacentral:rRNA from 1 species